GUGAAGUGUUCAAGCUGGUGUCGUUUUGUAGAUGCCCCCCAUGUAUAGUUUGUGUAUUGUGUGAAGUGUUGGUGUCGGUAUCCUCACUAAUACUAACAAGGAUACAUCAUUUGCAUCGUCGCUGUAUUUUUGAAGGAAAGUUAUAGCUUCACCCUCAGUAUCAGAGGACUCGUAUAUAGCCCCUGGAAGCAAUACCGCCCUCGUCAUCCAGUUCUCAGGUUUGGAUAGUGUUCAACAGUAUUCCCGUUCUUAUAAUAACCGUAGUUGUGUUAGCCAUGUAUUUUUUGAGGAAGCGUUCAAAAAAUAAACAGCCCUUUGAUAAAUUCUAACAAUGGUUUCACUGUCGAUAUGUCGUAGCCAAGUAUUCGUCUGUAUAUAGCUUGAAAGCUGGAUAUAUGUAGCAAGCAUAAGCUGCAGUAUAAAAAAAAUCCCCCCGGAAAUAAGACAGUUAUUUACUUGAAUGCGCUACCAACAUUGUACUUUAUACUUGAAUAACGAACCAGUUGAGAUUGUAGUAAAUUCUUGCAAGUACCUUGGUACUAUAUUUAAAGACAAUGUCAGCUGGGGAUUAAAUGCUGAUACCUUAAUUAAAAAAUGAAACCAGAGAUUAUACAUACUUAGAAACUAAAUAUUUAAAGUAAAUAAAAAUAAGCUUUUUAUAACUGGUUUGUUGAAAAUUCCAUAUUUAUUAUGUGGUUUGGCAAUGUAAAUCUUAAAGACACGAACGCCUUGCAAAGAAUAGUAAAUCUGUGUUCAAAAAUAACCUGAAGUACAUUGCGCAGUCUGUCAUCCUUUUGUGACAAACUCUAGGUAAAUGUAAAUAUAUUUUGAAACCCCAGAACAUGCACUUUUCCAUGAGAAAACUUUUGUACCAGAGACCACAUGGUCUCCUGUACAAAAGUCAAGUGUGUAGGACAAAACGAGUUAAAUUCAUUUGUUUCAACCGG